GACGAACGCUGGCGGCGUGCCUAAUACAUGCAAGUUGAGCGCUGAAGGUUGGUACUUGUACCAACUGGAUGAGCAGCGAACGGGUGAGUAACGCGUGGGGAAUCUGCCUUUGAGCGGGGGACAACAUUUGGAAACGAAUGCUAAUACCGCAUAAAAACUUUAAACACAAGUUUUAAGUUUUAAAGAUGCAAUUGCAUCACUCAAAGAUGAUCCCGCGUUGUAUUAGCUAGUUGGUGAGGUAAAGGCUCACCAAGGCGAUGAUACAUAGCCGACCUGAGAGGGUGAUCGGCCACAUUGGGACUGAGACACGGCCCAAACUCCUACGGGAGGCAGCAGUAGGGAAUCUUCGGCAAUGGACGAAAGUCUGACCGAGCAACGCCGCGUGAGUGAAGAAGGUUUUCGGAUCGUAAAACUCUGUUGGUAGAGAAGAACGUUGGUGAGAGUGGAAAGCUCAUCAAGUGACGGUAACUACCCAGAAAGGGACGGCUAACUACGUG
rnacentral:rRNA from 1 species